ACUGCUAACCGCUUUUGGUCCCAAAUCUUUGGUGUUGUUUUUUCCAAUAAACAUUGGUUACAUUUCUUUAUGCUAUUUGUACCCGUCACCGGUUUAUGGAUGAGUGCUAUUGGCGUAGUUGGCUUGGCUCUGAACUUACGUGCCUAUGACUUUGUUUCCCAGGAAAUCCGUGCAGCGGAAGAUCCUGAAUUUGAGACUUUCUACACCAAAAAUAUUCUUUUAAACGAGGGUAUUCAUGCGUGGAUGGCAGCUCAGGAUCAGCCUCAUGAAAAUCUUAUAUUCCCUGAGGAGGUUCUACCAAGUGGAAACGCUCUUUAA
rnacentral:rRNA from 1 species